rnacentral:SRP_RNA from 2 species
GCUGGGCGUGGUGGUGCACGCCUGUAAUCCUAGCUACUCGGGAGGCUGAGGUAGGAGAAUCACUUGAACCUGGGAGGCGGAGGUUGCAGUGAGCCAAGAUUGCGCCACUGCACUCCAGCCUGGGCAACAGAGUGAGACUCUGUCUCAA